rnacentral:rRNA from 1 species
GACGAACGCUGGCGGCGUGCUUAACACAUGCAAGUCGAACGGAAAGGCCCUGCUUUUGUGGGGUGCUCGAGUGGCGAACGGGUGAGUAACACGUGAGUAACCUGCCCUUGACUUUGGGAUAACUUCAGGAAACUGGGGCUGAUACCGGAUAGGAGCUCCUGCUGCAUGGUGGGGGUUGGAAAGUUUCGGCGGCUGGGGAUGGACUCGCGGCUUAUCAGCUUGUUGGUGGGGUAGUGGCUUACCAAGGCUUUGACGGGUAGCCGGCCUGAGAGGGUGACCGGCCACAUUGGGACUGAGAUACGGCCCAGACUCCUACGGGAGGCAGCAGUGGGGAAUAUUGCACAAUGGGCGGAAGCCUGAUGCAGCAACGCCGCGUGCGGGAUGACGGCCUUCGGGUUGUAAACCGCUUUCGCCUGUGACGAAGCGUGAGUGACGGUAAUGGGUAAAGAAGCACUGGCUAACUACGUG